CGGGAACCGGAGCAUACGAUAUAUUUGAACCGCAUGGUUCAAAGUGAAAGACGGUCUUGCUGUCACUUAUAGAUGGAUCCGCGCUGCAUUAGCUAGUUGGUAAGGUAACGGCUUACCAAGGCAACGAUGCAUAGCCGACCUGAGAGGGUGAUCGGCCACACUGGAACUGAGACACGGUCCAGACUCCUACGGGAGGCAGCAGCU
rnacentral:rRNA from 1 species